ACGCACGCUGGCGGCGUGCUUAACACAUGCAGGUCGAACGGAAAGGCCCUGCUUUUGUGGGGUGCUCGAGUGGCGAACGGGUGAGUAACACGUGAGUAACCUGCCCUUGACUUUGGGAUAACUUCAGGAAACUGGGGCUAAUACCGGAUAGGAGCUCCUGCUGCAUGGUGGGGGUUGGAAAGUUUCGGCGGUUGGGGAUGGACUCGCGGCUUAUCAGCUUGUUGGUGGGGUAGUGGCUUACCAAGGCUUUGACGGGUAGCCGGCCUGAGAGGGUGACCGGCCACAUUGGGACUGAGAUACGGCCCAGACUCCUACGGGAGGCAGCAGUGGGGAAUAUUGCACAAUGGGCGGAAGCCUGAUGCAGCAACGCCGCGUGCGGGAUGACGGCCUUCGGGUUGUAAACCGCUUUCGCCUGUGACGAAGCGUGAGUGACGGUAAUGGGUAAAGAAGCACCGGCUAACUACGUG
rnacentral:rRNA from 1 species